UGCGAAAAGAAGCAACAGCCGCUCCCCCGGAGCCCAGAAAAGUGGACGCCGCGUCCCGGCCGCCCGCCUGCGCCGGGGAUGCGGCGGCGGCGGCGGCUAACGGUCCAGCGAGGCGGCAGGGGCGGCGGGAGCCGCUAGGCGGAGAGACCAGUUUUCUCAGUUGGAGCUCCUCGCCUCUGUGCCUGGAAGGAGUUGCAGGUGUGUGUGGGGAGAGAGUGGUCACCCACAUGGCCCCGGCGCAGCUCGGGGGGCCCCCAGAAUUCCACACACGUGGUGAGACAGGUGUCCCUACAGCUACGUCACUACGUCUGUGAGACAGGCGUCACUUUGUCUACGUCACUACGCCUGUGUUACAGGCAUCACGCGGAAUGAGGGUGCAAGAACUGCCACCUGGCUUCCUCUGAACCACUGCCACGUGCGUCGUCCCCAUGUUGCUCCAGACGCUGGGGACGGCCGAGCUCCGGGGCCGGUCAGCCUCCAAGGAGAAGACCUCGGCACCGUGACCUCAGGGCCACGCAGAAGAUGCCUGCCCUUCCAGAUCCUUCAAUGGGGGACAAAGGCUUUCAUUCCUCCAGCAGAGGUGGGGCUGCAGUGCGAACCAGAGCUUCCCAACCUCUGUGCCAGUUGUCAGUGUGUCGACAAACUGGUCUCCUCGGGUGUCGGGCACCUCGGCAGGGCCUGGAGCCUCCCUCCUCAUCCCUCUCCGUGGUCCCUGAGAUGGUGCAAGUAUUACCACUCCCUGUGACAGCCACGACAUGCAGACAGUCUGAAUGACAGCAGAUGGUCCUAGUGAGGAGAUCCUGGUGAGGAUGGGCCCGAGUUCCGCCGGAGGCAACUCCGCCCCUCAGCUUUUUAGCCAGAGCAUCACUACCGGCCGGAGGGGCGGCCGGGUGCAGGGCUGGGGGCUCUGCUUCAUCCCCGGGGCGCCAGGCGGACCUGAGCCCUGUGGGCCCCACCGAGCUUUUGAAGUGGAAGGUUCCCCAUUAUUCUAACCACCCCAGAAUCCUCCCUGGCCGCCUUUCUUUUUCUCCAGUUUCACCCAAGGGUAGAGUUGGCCCCGGCCAGCAUCAUGCCCUCCGCCUUCUCUGGCCCUGUGCUGGGAACUCAGAAGCAGGUGUGGGAGCCCGUGGCUGUGCCCUUAGCCGCAGGUCGCAGGGGACACGGCCUCCGUUAGCACGCCGCAGGAAGGCUCCAGAACUAACAACCACGCUCGGCUUUGGGGGGUUUACAAAACACAUACUGCCCCCCAAAACUGCAGGGAUAUUUUAAAAUUCAAAUGGGUUAUAUUUUCUAAGCAAGAGCUACAUUGUUUUCCCAAAAGCAGUUUUCAGACAUUUCAAAAACUUUAGCUGGUGAGUCAAAAAUCUCCUUUUACUCCUUCUGUUUUCUCUCGCUCUGAAAAUACAUACGUAUGUUUACAUAAGCACGCGCCACGCUUGGAGGCGUAUCUUCUAGGAUGUAGAUAACAAAGGCGAGUGCGGCGGUUGGAAUCCAGGCGCUUGGAAGAGAUGGGUCUGUGCUCUGCGUCCCAGCACAGCGUUUAGCACUCUGUUACGUAUGGAGCGUGUGUUCCCCUCACGUGCACCCUCGUCUUCCCCUGCGCUCGCUGACCUGACCCGAGGCGGCUGGGCUGACGUCCCGUGCUCGCAGCAAGUGCUUGGAGAGUUCCCAAGGCCGGCAAGUCAAAUGUUGCGGCCAGGUCAUCGCCUGUUUCCAGCAAAAUGAGUUCCUAUCCAUUUAGGCCCGUCUUACUGCUCUUUGUUAUAACUAUUGCCAAGGAGAAACGAGCAGGUUUGGGUACCACAAGGCAAAAUAAUAUUUGAGAUUUUAACAUAUGCUUAUUUCUUAAUAUUGUAAGCACCCUAUUGUGAUUUGGGGACUUUUGUGUUAGUCUUCGAUCCUUCUCCCACAGAGUCCGGGAGGACUGGGUGCCCUGGCCUUGGCCUUGGGAUGCGCGGUCUCACUCCCCGUGCACAGAGGCGGCGUCCUUUGCACACGACGGGGCUGAGUGGAGGCUCCAAGCUCGUGUGGCCUGAGACAUUCCAUCGCAGAGGCUCUCCUAGCAACAUGGCGAUGCCAGCAAACCCAACAAUGCCCUUUUGUCGUUAGCUCUAUAAAGCCUGUGGCAUGAGUCUCACCAGAAAAUUCAAAAGAUAUUUUGCAAGCGAAGAGCGAUUUCCAGCUGAAGCUUUGAAUCGGUUGCUUUCCUCCAACCUGCAAAUAUCAAACUGGACCGGCACCAACUUGUCGCCUCAAGAGCAGGACGUACCCAAAGAGGAUACCAUGUCACCAAAAGAGUCAACAGCCAAUGCCGCGUAAUAAUUUUGUGAAGAUUUGUUUAGUUAAAACUAGAUGAUAUUAUUUGGCAUUCCAUUUCACCAAGAAGAGCUCACUGCAAGUGUUACAAGAUGCUGAAAGCAGAGAUGGCUUUGUCACUUUCUUUCCUGCUGUGGAAUUAGGACUCUGUUUUCCACUGGACCGGAAAUAAGAAAAAAAACGAACGCAGAUCCACAAGCCAGGUCUGGUUUUAAUCAGAGCAUAAUCUUUAUGAGACAACGCGAGGCUGAGAAUUUUUUAAUCUGAUAUUUUGAAAGAAAAAUCCGUGUUCCAAAAUGAUACAAACCAAUCAGCCUUAGAAGAACGAUGGAAAAAAGAAAUCUCUUGCAUAAAAGAGAAGCAGGAAAUUCCAGAGAAGUUUCACAGGGAGGAGGGGAAAACCCAAGAACCCUCAGUGUCUGCUUCAACUGAUCGGAUGAGGCUCACCCGCAUCAUCAAGGGUAAUCUCCCUCCAAAGUCAG